rnacentral:rRNA from 1 species
GACGAACGCUGGCGGCGUGCUUAACACAUGCAAGUCGUACGGUAAGGCCCUUUCGGGGGUACACGAGUGGCGAACGGGUGAGUAACACGUGAGUAACCUGCCCACAACUUUGGGAUAACGCUAGGAAACUGGUGCUAAUACUGGCUAUGUGCUCCUGCUGCAUGGUGGGGGUUGGAAAGCUCCGGCGGGUGUGGAUGGACUCGCGGCCUAUCAGCUUGUUGGUGGGGUAGUGGCCUACCAAGGCGGCGACGGGUAGCCGGCCUGGGAGGGUGACCGGCCACAUUGGGACUGAGAUACGGCCCAGACUCCUACGGGAAGCAGCAGUGGGGAAUAUUGCACAAUGGGCGCAAGCCUGAUGCAGCAACGCCGCGUGCGGGAUGACGGCCUUCGGGUUGUAAACCGCUUUCAGCAGGGACGAAGCUUUUUGUGACGGUACCUGCAGAAGAAGCACCGGCUAACUACGUG